AUGCAGCCUCAGCAAAUCCAACUCCUUUCUUUUAUGGCCCAUUGGCGAGAGGGAAACCGGUGCACGCGCGCACCAACAUCAGCAUCUGAUGAAGUCCCCGAGAAGGAUGAAGAUGAACUGGCCUUUCUGAUCAAAGCACCCUCUAAUGCUCGAGGCUGGCCCCGCAUAGGUGACAUUUGUGUAUUACGGAAUGGAAGCAGGGACAUAUAGGAGAGGAACAGACGCGAUGGAUGUUGCCUGGGCUCCUGAGUGGCGCAGCAGUUCUAAGGCACUGCAUCUCAGUGCUAGAGGCGUCUCUACAGACCCUGGUUCGAUUCCAGACUGAAUCACAACCGGCUGUGAUUGGGAGUCCCAUAGGGCGGUGCACAAUUGGCCCAGUGUCGGCCGGGUUAGGGUUUGGCCGGUGUAGGCUGUCAUUGUAAAUAAGAAAUUGUUCUUAACUGACUUUCCUAGUUAAAUAAAGGUUUAAUAAAAUACAUUUAAAAAAGUGUUAUCUACACAGUGCAAUUACUAUUCUCAAACAACAACAUCCUCUAAUCAAAGAACAGUUCAAAAGGUCAGACAUAAAUGUUAAUGUAAUGAGAUAUAACCUGAUGAAAAUAGAAAAUGAUUAGGUAGUAAAUUGGUUUUUAAAGUGUACAUGCGAGAACUUGUGCUGAAGCACGCACGUACGCAUGCACACACACACACAUACACACACAUACAGUGCCUUCUUCUUGGGGUCCACAUAAAACGCAUGAAUACAUGACAAAGUACAAAACAGUUAUAGACCAGAACAACGUAAGAUAUUUCAUAUCGUGGAAAUACACCAAGAGACAAGAAAAUACUAUUUACACACUAUUCAUACACAGUGUCUUCAGAAAGUAUUCAUACCCCUUGACUUAUUCCACAUUUUGUUGUGUUACCGCCUGAAUUCCAAUGCAAGUGUAGCGAAAUGCUUGUGCUUCUAGUUCCGACAAUGCAGUAAUAUCUAACAAGUAAUCUAACAAAUUCACAACAACUACCUUGUCACGACUUCCACCAAAGGUGGCUCCUCUCCCUUUUCGGGUGGUGCUCGGCGGUCGUCGUCGCCGGUCUACUAGCUGCCACCGAUCUUUUUUUAUUUUUCGUUUGGUCUUGUCUACUUUGAUUGUGCACCUGUUCCUUGUUUAGGUUGAUUCGUGUGGGUAUUUAUUUUCUCCCUACCCGCUUUGUUUCGUGCGGGUUUAUUUUCGUUUCCCUGUUUUUAUGUUAAUUGACGUGAUUUUGUUCCUUUAUUCAUUCGGUGUUUUCCCUAGAUUGUUUUCUAGUGGUGUUUUUGGACUGUGUAUUUAGGUCCUGUGCCUGUAUGUUUUGGAUGGACUAAUUAAACACUUUUGAUUGCAUCUAUUCCUCUCCUGCACCUGACUCCUACACCCACCUCUCGUAGAGAACCGUGACAGAAACCCGCACCAAAAUUAUGGAGUCAGCAGGAGCAGACGCGCCCUCCCCAUCGAUGGAGGAGCGUGUACACCAACAUACAGCCGUUCUCCACCAGUUGGGAACGGCUAUGGAUCAGGCACUGGCGAGAAUG
rnacentral:lncRNA from 8 species